GAUCGUCCUAUGUUCCGGUUUCUAAAUUAUUGAUGAUCGAUCGUUGUUAUGUUUUGUAAAUUAUUUUGUGUUGCGUUUGCAUAUCAAUGCUUUUCUGCAUCUGUGACAGAUCCGAGGAUAUCAGCGUUCUUCUCUCAAAAUUGGGAUGAAUUUGUAUUUCCGUGAGAGGAUCGGACAAUAUUUUUGCGAUUAGACGAGAUUUGUGUUUAUUCUCACAAGAUUUGAUUUGCUUAGGUAGGACUUAAUUGAUGUUCUAAUCCCAAUAUCUUUGAGAUGC
rnacentral:misc_RNA from 1 species